UACGUAGGUGGCAAGCGCUGUCCGGAUUUACUGGGUGUAAAGGGCGUGCAGCCGGAGAGACAAGUCAGAUGUGAAAUCCACGGGCUCAACCCGUGAACUGCAUUUGAAACUGUUUCCCUUGAGUGUCGGAGAGGUAAUCGGAAUUCCUUGUGUAGCGGUGAAAUGCGUAGAUAUAAGGAAGAACACCAGUGGCGAAGGCGGAUUACUGGACGAUAACUGACGGUGAGGCGCGAAAGCGUGGGGAGCAAACAGG
rnacentral:rRNA from 1 species